AGUGAACGCUGGCGGUAGGCCUAACACAUGCAAGUCGAACGGCAGCACAGUAAGAGCUUGCUCUUACGGGUGGCGAGUGGCGGACGGGUGAGGAAUACAUCGGAAUCUACUUUUUCGUGGGGGAUAACGUAGGGAAACUUACGCUAAUACCGCAUACGACCUACGGGUGAAAGCAGGGGAUCUUCGGACCUUGCGCGAUUGAAUGAGCCGAUGUCGGAUUAGCUAGUUGGCGGGGUAAAGGCCCACCAAGGCGACGAUCCGUAGCUGGUCUGAGAGGAUGAUAAGACACACUGGAAGUGAGACACGGUCCAGACUCCUACGGGAGGCAGCAGUGGGGAAUAUUGGACAAGGGGCGCAAGCAUGAUCCAGCAAUACCGCGUGGGUGAAGAAGGCCUUCGGGUUGUAAAGCCCUUUUGUUGGGAAAGAAAAGCAGCAGGUUAAUACCCCGAUGUUCUGACGGUACCCAAAGAAUAAGCACCGGCUAACUUCGUG
rnacentral:rRNA from 1 species